AUUGAACGCUGGCGGCAUGCCUUACACAUGCAAGUCGAACGGCAGCAUGAUCUCGCUUGCUAGAUUGAUGGCGAGUGGCGAACGUGUGAGUAAUACAUCGGAACGUGCCCUGUAGCGGGGGAUAACUAGUCGAAAGAUUAGCUAAUACCGCAUACGACCUGAGGGUGAAAGUGGGGGACCGCAAGGCCUCAUGCUAUAGGAUCGGCCGAUGUCUGAUUAGCUAGUUGGUGAGGUAAAGGCUCACCAAGGCGACGAUCAGUAGCUGGUCUGAGAGGACGAUCAGCCACACUGGGACUGAGACACGGCCCAGACUCCUACGGGAGGCAGCAGUGGGGAAUUUUGGACAAUGGGCGAAAGCCUGAUCCAGCAAUGCCGCGUGUGUGAAGAAGGCCUUCGGGUUGUAAAGCACUUUUGUCCGGAAAGAAAAGGCUCUGGUUAAUACCUGGGGUCGAUGACGGUACCGGAAGAAUAAGGACCGGCUAACUACGUG
rnacentral:rRNA from 1 species